rnacentral:lncRNA from 1 species
UUUUUUUUUUUUUUACUUUUUAAAUGUGAUUACUAGAAAAAUGUAAAUUUUUUGUAAGGCUUACAUUGUAUUUCUAUUGAGCAGAGCUAUUUUCGGUGUUACAAAGUAGACUAGUGGAGCACAGCCUCUUUUUGUCAGACCACACCACCUCUAUUAUGUGGCAAAGGAUGCAGAUGGGGUAUGCUGGUAAAUGUCGGCAGGAAUGAAAUGAGCAACAUAAAAAAAAUAACUUUAACCAAUUAGAAAAUGGCCCAAAUCAAAAGGAUUGGGGAUGAUUCUAAGAAUGUGUAUAUCUGUAGAAUGAGAUACAGAUCGAAUGGUCAGAGAAUAGAAGCUGAGAGAAUAAGCUUUCUGGGUUGGUAAAAUUUUAAGUAAUGACAAUGUCAAGGUAGAAUGGAUGGAUAUGGUUUGCUCAGGUGGACAGAAAUAAAGAUGCUAAGAGAUGACACGGUCAAGAGAUUUUUUUAAAAAGUUCUGGGUUAACCCAUUUUUGUGUUAAGUUAAUUCUGGCAAAAAUGUAUACUUGUUUCUUACUUUUUAAAAAUUUAUCAUAGUAAGAACAUACUAUGAAAUCUACUCUCUUAAAGUUAAGUGUAUAAUAUAGUAUUGUUGACUACAGCUACAAUGUUGUAUAGCAGAUCUCCAGAGCUUACUCAUUUUGUUUAACUGAAACUUUAUGCCCAUUGAUUAGUAAUUCACCAUUUCCUUCUUCCCCUAGCAACUACCCUUCCAGUCUUUGAUUCUAUGAAUGUGACUAUUCUAGAUACCUCAUAUAAAUGAAAUAUGUGGUAUUUGUCUUUUGUGACUAGUUCAUUUCACUUAGCAUAAUCCUCAGUUUUAUCCAUAUUUUGCAUAUUGCAGAAUUUUCUUCCUUUUUAGGGCUGAUUACCAUUCCAUCGUGUACACACACACAACACACACACACACACACACUACAUUUUCUUUAUCCUAAGUGCUUCCUAUUUUUCAAACUUAAGCAUACACUGUAUCUUUCCUGACCUAGUAAAGUCAAUUGUUUCACACAGUUGUCCCCUGUAUGCCCAGCUACUUGCCGAGGGAUCUAAUAACCAUCUCCUCCUCUUCCUUCAGUUCUUGGUAUUGAUCUUUCUAUUAGUCUUCACACAAACCUAAGAGAUAGGUAUUAUUGUUAUCAUCAUCAUCUAUUUUAAAUGGAAGGAAAUCAAAGCAGAAAAAAACUAAAAAAUUCCCCCAAGUUCAUACAGCUAGGAAAUAAAGAGUCAGAUUUCAACCCAGGUACAGUGGCUCAAAUCUCAAGCACUUAAUAUUUUAUGGUCUACUGUCUCUGACAUAGACGCCACUUACUAAUUAUUUCUGUUAGUAAUUAGGAUCCAUUCUCCAUUUUGUUUUUUAGCCAAAAGUUCAAAUGUAUUUUGGAAUCUCUGUGGAUCUUAGACAAUAGAGUCCACUCUUGAAAAGAAGCCUACCUUUGGUUUCUGAUCUCAAUAACUCUUUCAAUAUUAAGAGUGUGGCCAAAGGCAGGUCAACUAAGGUGUUCUCAGAAAUUUCCUGGCAACAAGGUGACAUUCUGUUCCUCUACAUAUAAAUAAUGAAGCAUGUGAUCUUAGAAACUUAGCAUUUAGCAUUAAGAAAAAGUAGAGAAAAAGUAAAGAAGAUAAAAAUACAUCUUAAAGGACUAAUGUAAAAUUUUAAAGGGACCAAAUCCACGUAGUGUGUCCUAUUUUGAAAAUAUCUUAAAAGUUUGAUUCCUAUCAUAAAUGAGCUCCAUAUUUUACAAUGGAAUGCAUUCUUCGUUUUUUAAAAAAAACUUAAUUGUAAUUAAUUUCUUUAAAAUACUAGAAAGUUUAUCUCUCUUUUUAAAUACCACCUUCAGUUCAAUGCGUAUCUGAUACAUAUUUUAAAUAAUCUUGAAUCUCUUAACAUAAUGCAAAAUAUUUUUAUUAAUGUCGAGGAUAGAAAAAAGUAGAAAUUAUCCACAUUUUGUAUCAAAAAUAAAGUGUUUCUCAGGACGUCUGCAUGUCUCAGUGGUUGACCACGUACCUUCAGCUCAGGGUGUUAUCUUGGGGUCCUGGGAUUAAGUCCUGCACCGGGCCCCUGCGGGGAGCCUGCUUCUCCUUCUGCCUAUGUCUCUGCCUCUCAUGAAUAAAUGAAUAAAAUCUUUAAAAAUAUAUAAUGUUUCUAGAAAAAUAUCAAACAUUAUUUAAGAAAAAAAACUACUCAUCAUUACUAUAAUUUUAAAUAGCUCAUUAUAAUAAAGAACCAAGCAUUAUUUAGUAUGCGUAUUGCUAAUACAAUCUCUCUCAAUUGUUCGAGAAACACUCACUUUUAAAAACCCAUGACAAAGGACACAAGAAUACACAGUAGGGAAAAGACAAGACAUGGAGCCAGGAAAACUGGACAGCUAAAUGGAAAAGAAUGGCACUGGACCAUGUUCUAACACCAUACAAAAAUAAAUUCAAAACGUAUUAAAGACCUAAUGUGAGACCUGAAACCAUAAAAUCCCAGAAGAGAACACAGGUAGUAACUUUCAUCACAUCAGCCAUAGAAACAUUUUUCUGGUCAUGUCCCCUAAGGCAAGGGAAAGAAAAGUAAAAAUAAACUAU